rnacentral:rRNA from 1 species
GCACGCUGACACGUAGGUGAAGUGAUUUACUCAUGGAGCUGAAGUCAGUCGAAGAUACCAGCUGGCUGCAACUGUUUAUUAAAAACACAGCACUGUGCAAACACGAAAGUGGACGUAUACGGUGUGACGCCUGCCCGGUGCCGGAAGGUUAAUUGAUGGGGUCAGCGCAAGCGAAGCUCCUGAUCGAAGCCCCGGUAAACGGCGGCCGUAACUAUAACGGUCCUAAGGUAGCGAAAUUCCUUGUCGGGUAAGUUCCGACCUGCACGAAUGGCGUAAUGAUGGCCAGGCUGUCUCCACCCGAGACUCAGUGAAAUUGAACUCGCUGUGAAGAUGCAGUGUACCCGCGGCAAGACGGAAAGACCCCGUGAACCUUUACUAUAGCUUGACACUGAACAUUGAGCCUUGAUGUGUAGGAUAGGUGGGAGGCUUUGAAGCGUGGACGCCAGUCUGCGUGGAGCCGACCUUGAAAUACCACCCUUUAAUGUUUGAUGUUCUAACGUGGACCCGUAAUCCGGGUUGCGGACAGUGUCUGGUGGGUAGUUUGACUGGGGCGGUCUCCUCCUAAAGAGUAACGGAGGAGCACGAAGGUUGGCUAAUCCUGGUCGGACAUCAGGAGGUUAGUGCAAUGGCAUAAGCCAGCUUGACUGCGAGCGUGACGGCGCGAGCAGGUGCGAAAGCAGGUCAUAGUGAUCCGGUGGUUCUGAAUGGAAGGGCCAUCGCUCAACGGAUAAAAGGUACUCCGGGGAUAACAGGCUGAUACCGCCCAAGAGUUCAUAUCGACGGCGGUGUUUGGCACCUCGAUGUCGGCUCAUCACAUCCUGGGGCUGAAGUAGGUCCCAAGGGUAUGGCUGUUCGCCAUUUAAAGUGGUACGCGAGCUGGGUUUAGAACGUCGUGAGACAGUUCGGUCCCUAUCUGCCGUGGGCGCUGGAGAACUGAGGGGGGCUGCUCCUAGUACGAGAGGACCGGAGUGGACGCAUCACUGGUGUUCGGGUUGUCAUGCCAAUGGCACUGCCCGGUAGCUAAAUGCGGAAGAGAUAAGUGCUGAAAGCAUCUAAGCACGAAACUUGCCCCGAGAUGAGUUCUCCCUGAGACUUAGAGUCUCCUGAAGGAACGUUGAAGACGACGACGUUGAUAGGCCGGGUGUGUAAGCGCAGCGAUGCGUUGAGCUAACCGGUACUAAUGAACCGUGAGGCUUAACCUUACAACGCCGAAG